UACGUAGGGGGCAAGCGUUGUCCGGAAUCAUUGGGCGUAAAGCGCGUGUAGGCGGUUCGAUAAGUCUGCUGUGAAAGUCCAGGGCUCAACCCUGGGAUGCCGGUGGAUACUGUCGGGCUAGAGUACGGAAGAGGCGAGUGGAAUUCCCGGUGUAGCGGUGAAAUGCGCAGAUAUCGGGAAGAACACCGGUGGCGAAGGCGGCUAUCUGGCCCGUAAUUGACGCUGAGGCGCGAAAGCGUGGGGAGCGAACAGG
rnacentral:rRNA from 1 species